GACGAACGCUGGCGGCGUGCCUAAUACAUGCAAGUCGUGCGGACCUUUUAAAAGCUUGCUUUUAAAAGGUUAGCGGCGGACGGGUGAGUAUCACGUGGGCAACCUGCCUGUAAGACUGGGAUAACGCCGGGAAACCGGGGCUAAUACCAGAUCGUUUUUUCCUCCGCAUGGAGGAAAAAGGAAAGGCGGCUUCGGCUGCCACUUACAGAUGGGCCCGCGGCGCAUUAGCUAGUUGGCGGGGUAACGGCCCACCAAGGCAACGAUGCGUAGCCGACCUGAGAGGGUGAUCGGCCACAUUGGGACUGAGACACGGCCCAAACUCCUACGGGAGGCAGCAGUAGGGAAUCUUCCGCAAUGGACGAAAGUCUGACGGAGCAACGCCGCGUGAGGGAAGAAGGCCUUCGGGUCGUAAAACUCUGUUGCCGGGGAAGAACAAGUGCCGUUCGAACAGGGCGGCGCCUUGACGGUACCCGGCCAGAAAGCCACGGCUAACUACGUG
rnacentral:rRNA from 1 species